rnacentral:tRNA from 1 species
GUCCCCUUCGUCUAGUGGCCCAGGACGUCGCCCUCUCACGGCGAAAACAGGGGUUCGACUCCCCUAGGGGACGCCA